GACCGAACAACACAUGAAUUUGCUAAUGCGCGCAGCCUAUUUGAAUUCUUUGAUUAGUUAUUCUUUUUAUUACAUUGGCAAAUGGCUUUUUUUAAGUAGAAAGGGUAAGAAAACUAACAUGUAUAUCUAAAUGAGAUUUAAAUUUCACACACAUUAUUUGAUAAGAAGAUACCAAGUCAAUAGCUGAUAAAGAAAUUAAGAAAACAAAUGGCACACAUACAGGUGAACUCGUUUGGACCCUGCAAGAUGAUUGACCAAAAGGAAAAAUGUAAAUCCUAUAAUGCACUGGUCAUUAGUCAUUUCUUUGCAUGUCUUCUGUCAUAAUCAUAACAGACUAAAUGCACUGAUCCAGGGUUUGGUGUUUGAAGGCUCUACCAAUGUUAGGAGUUAAAGAACCAUAUUUUACCCCAAAAAAAUGGAUGUAGUCUAAUCUAUGAAAUAUAUUCAUUUCUUAAAAAAAAGGGGGUGGGGUAAAAUUGAAGAAAAAAAAAUAAUAAGCAACUGCGCAUCCAAUUUAGGAUUUCAAGCAUGUCAGUCAUUGUGAUUACAAUUUCUAAAACAUAUCAUUUAUUCAUUUUUUUUUUCUAAUAUAUUUUUCGGUGUUAAAGAAGUUAUCUAGUCCUCCCCUGAGUGCUCCGUAUAAAAACAUUUUGGGGGAAAACACAGAUACAUUGGAUUUGACAGUUUGACACCACCAUUUAAUUGUUUUUGUGCUGCUACUCGUUACUCGACACGUUACUAGGAUAACCUUGGGGUGAUAUGUAUAAAACUACUUAUCCGAAAGGACGGAUUUUUUUUCUACAUGUCCUACGAUAAAUAAAUAAUACGAUAAGAUCUGUCCUACUAAAAAGCGCUUGGGAACGCCCGAGAGCGCCCGAGAAAAGAAAAAGCGCCCGAGGAAGAAAAAAAGGCCCGGGAGAAUAAGUGAUUUCCUGAAUGAAAAAAAAAAACAUUGCGUGUUUCACCCGUAUAAAUGGG
rnacentral:lncRNA from 1 species